rnacentral:piRNA from 1 species
UGAGAAUUCUAUUCUGCAACUUAGAUAUCU